UACGUAGGUGGCAAGCGUUGUCCGGAUUUACUGGGCGUAAAGAGCGCGCAGGCGGUCGAUUUAGUCGCGUGUGAAAGCCCCCCGGCUCAACUGGGGAGGGUCACGCGAUACUGAUCGACUCGAAGGCAGGAGAGGGUAGUGGAAUUCCCGGUGUAGUGGUGAAAUGCGUAGAUAUCGAGAGGAACACCGGUGGCGAAGGCGGCCAACUGGACGAAGACUGACGCUGAGACACGAAAGCGUGGGGAGCAAACAGG
rnacentral:rRNA from 1 species